UACGUAGGGUGCAAGCGUUGUCCGGAAUUAUUGGGCGUAAAGGGCUCGUAGGCGGUCCAUCGCGUCGGGAGUGAAAAGCUGGGGCUUAACCCCAGUCCUGCUUCCGAUACGGGUGGACUAGAGGUAGGUAGGGGAGAACGGAAUUCCUGGUGUAGCGGUGAAAUGCGCAGAUAUCAGGAGGAAUACCGGUGGUGUAGACGGCUCUCUGGACCGCAACUGACGCUGAGACACGAAAGCGUGGGUAGCAAACAGG
rnacentral:rRNA from 1 species